rnacentral:rRNA from 1 species
GACGAACGCUGGCGGCGUGCUUAACACAUGCAAGUCGAACGGAAAGGCCCUGCUUUUGUGGGGUGCUCGAGUGGCGAACGGGUGAGUAACACGUGAGUAACCUGCCCUUGACUUUGGGAUAACUUCAGGAAACUGGGGCUAAUACCGGAUAGGAGCUCCUGCUGCAUGGUGGGGGUUGGAAAGUUUCGGCGGUUGGGGAUGGACUCGCGGCUUAUCAGCUUGUUGGUGGGGUAGUGGCUUACCAAGGCUUUGACGGGUAGCCGGCCUGAGAGGGUGACCGGCCACAUGGGGACUGAGAUACGGCCCAGACUCCUACGGGAGGCAGCAGUGGGGAAUAUUGCACAAGGGGCGGAAGCCUGAUGCAGCAACGCCGCGUGCGGGAGGACGGCCUUCGGGUUGUAAACCGCUUUCGCCUGUGACGAAGCGUGAGUGACGGUAAUGGGUAAAGGAGCACCGGCUAACUACGU